UGCUCAAGAUUAAACAGAGCACUGAAUCUAGGAUGAGGAAAGAAUUUUUUCCUCAGGGGAAGAAAGGGGUGUGGGAUUUCCAAAUGUGCACUACAGUAGGAUCAGCUGUGUGGAUCAGGAUUUCUCCAAGAAUAACCUAAGGACCAUCUACUUCAGAAUCAGCAGGGGUUCAAGUUAGAAACUGCAGUUUUCUGGACCUCUACCCAGACUUAAUAAAAACAUUAGAAGGAGGGUAGGGCCCAAGAAUCUUCACUUUAGAAGUUACCCAGUGAUUGUUAUGCACACUGAAGUUUAAGGACCACUGACUGCUCUAGACCCUUGUUUUUUCCCAACCAAAUGACACAAGGACUCUGCCAAGCUAUAAGUAUCUUAAGAUCAUCUGAAAAGAGAAAACUCCUUAACAGUUCUCUCUUUGCAUUCCUUCUAUUUGCCUUCCUUCUAAAAUACACAUGGAAGAGGAAAGAAAGCUUGGAGAGUGGGCUGAAUAUGAGACAUCAGCAUAAAUGCAGACUUGUCAGCCCUGCUCUGUGGCUGCUGCCAAUUACAGUAGCCAGACCUGCAAGAGGACUUGAUUACAUGUAAUUUAUAAAAAGUAAACAAGCUGGGUGGCUUGUGAACAAUGAAUGGUGAUAUUGCAGCCAAGAGGUAAUAAAAUGCAUGAAUAAAUGACUCAGCAUCCCCCUACCAGACAACAAUUGGCUGUACUCUAAGCUAGGAGAGCAAAGUAAAAAUGAGUAUUUUGGUAAUGAUUUAAAUGACAACAGAUCCUUGGAGAGAGAAUUUGCCUAUCACCUAAACCCUCUAGUGAUCAAAGGCUCAGCCAUCUCAAUGACUGUUUUUCUCAAACAUUACUUCAGUCAGAAAAAUAAAUGUUUGCUUCCGGUGCUAUGACACAAUCCAACUGGCAACAUAGGGAAAUAUACUAAAUGAAUAAAAUAAAUGUAAGAACCAAGCUUUAUGAACCCCUCUAUAUGAGGAUUUCUCAACUUCAGCACACUGAUAUUCUGAGCCAGAUAAAUCUGUGCAAUAGAGUGUUUAGUAGCAUCCCUGCUUCUACCCACUAGAUACCAGAAGCAUUCCUCCCUCCAGCUGUAGCAACCAAAAUGUCUCCAGAAAUUGUCAAAUUGUUAUGGAAGUGCUGGGACGGGAAGAGCCUGGUCCCUUUAAAUGAUAUGGAAGUGGGGAAGGGAAGUGCCUGGUAGAGGAAGGCGUGGUCCCUGACUAGGGAUCCAUCCCCACGAACCUAGGUGAGGAUAGGCACUCCAGCCUUGCCGCCGAAAGGUCACCUUUCCAAGACCACCCUGGCCGGCCACGCCCCCAUCCUG
rnacentral:lncRNA from 1 species